rnacentral:rRNA from 1 species
UACAGAGGGUGCAAGCGUUGUCCGGAAUGAUUGGGCGUAAAGCGUCUGUAGGUGGCUCGUAAAGUCUAAUGUCAAAUACCAGGGCUCAACCUUGGACCGGCAUUAGAGUACUCACGAGCUUGAGUAUGGUAGAGGCAGAGGGAAUUCCAAGUGGAGCGGUGAAAUGCGUAGAGAUUUGGAGGAACACCAGUGGCGAAGGCGCUCUGCUGGGCCAAAACUGACACUGAGAGACGAAAGCUGGGGGAGCGAA